UGUGUCUUUUUCAGGCCUGGUUGCAGCAUGCUUGAAAUCUGGGAUGUUGAAGACCCUUUCAAUGCUGAUAACCCUCCCCUAUGUAGCAUCCUGCUCAAGGAUGCAAGGCCUUACUUCACCACAGUAUUUAUGAAUAGUAUGUACAGAGUAUUAAAGGUUAACUGAGAAUUACACUGUGGUGCAAGAGGUGUGUUGAAAACAAACAUGGUUUGCCUUAUUUUUUGGCCUGGUGAUUUAAUAAAAUCACAAGCGUUAAAAGAGACACUUAAAAACAAGAUAAUAAAAAUGAUUUAAAGUCUUUGAUUACUAAAGGUAGAUCACUUCAUUGUUUUCCAUUGAAUGUCAGCUUUAUUAAGCUUGUUGUAUAAAUGAUUAAAUCAUUUUAUAUUGCAAAAAUGUUCAUCUUAAGAGUUUUAAGGGAAAAUGUAUGCAAAAGAGCAAUGGAAUUUAAUAAAUCAAGGAUAUGGAAAUCCUUUCUUAUCCAACUAGGUGAAUCAUUUCAGGUUUUUUCUAGUACCAGGUGUAUCAGCUCAGACUCCUUCAACCACUUAGAAGAAUGCAGCUCUGAAAUGACACUUCCUGAGACCCUGAUACUGCUCACAACCAUUGUACAGUCUGUGAGGAAACUCUGUGUCCAUUGUGGUAUUUUUUCUUUUACUAGACUUCAGAAAAGAUCUUUAAUAGUGUUCGAAUGCUUUAAAAAAAACAGCUUGUUUUGUAAUGUGCUUUCCACUGAUCAGUUUUUAUCCUGAGCUAAACAGGUAUUAAUCUGUCUUUAGAAUCCAGUGGUUUUUCUUUUAAUCUCAAGGUAAAAUGAAAAUUUCUAUGGCACACAAUCAAAUUUGGUGGUUAAACAUAAUCAGAAAAGAAAAUCCAGUUAAAUUUAUCGAGUGAGAUUUUCAGAUGCUAGACCUUGAAUCAAGCAAAGGCCUUUCUUUUCACCUUGAUGGCUUGAUAGCUUUGUUGGACAUAGUAUUUCUAGCCACCAUCUUUCAUAAUGCAUACUCAUUUACUUUUGUUUUUGGAUGAGGAAGGUCAGGUUUUAUAACUCCUUUCCCCCUAUAAAACCUAUCCAACAAUAAUGCUUUGAAAAGAGGUAAUUAUCAGUUGCCAAUUGCAGAGUAACAUUCUUUUUCUCUGCUUGAUAAAUAUUAAAUAUGCCAGCUCUGCAGUAUUUUAAUGUGCAUUCAAGUUAAUCAUCUUGUGAUAAUAAAACAUACUUAUGUUCUUGUGAUAACAAAAUGAUUUAAUUCCAUAGAUUAGUUCACUUAUAGAAGGCAAGCAAUCACACAUAGAAAAAAAACAUUAAAAUUGCUUUUCAAUCUUUGUAGUUUAAAAUAUUCAGUAUAGAAUAUAAAACAGCUAAGAAAGUAUGCACAAUUCAUUUAUUUUAGAAUUUUCGAAUAAAUUCAUUUUGUAAGUGUGGAGCAAAGAAGGAAAAGUGACAUAACAACUAAUAUUCAUAAAAUUCAAGAAACACAUUUUGGAUGAUGUUUUCAUAGGUCAUAUUUUUAAAAAAUUGGCAGAAUAUGGCAAAAAUGGAUGAGUUUAUUAACUAUAAAAUGUUCUAUAUACAUAUAAUGAUUUCAUGUGGAUUUUUAUUUUUCUGUCCUCUGUAUGGUAAAUAAUUAAAAAAACACUUGAGAUUCUUUGUGUUUUCUAUCUUCUGAUCCUUAAUCAAGCAUACAUUUUGAAAUUGAAAGAGUUCUGAUAUAAGGCAGAAAUUGGAGAUUGCUGGAUUUAUUAGCCAAGUUUACAUUGGCAAUGGCCUUUAUUAGCUAUUUUAGACAAUUCUGCAUAGCUGCAGCUAUAAGAGAAGGCACUGUGAUGGAGAUAGUUUGGCCUUUGUUACAAGAUGGACCAAAGUUUGAAUUCUGG
rnacentral:lncRNA from 1 species